UACGAAGGGGGCGAGCGUUGUUCGGAUUUACUGGGCGUAAAGGGCGCGCAGGCGGCUCAUUUUGUCAGGCGUGAAAGCCCCGGGCUUAACCUGGGAACUGCGUUUGAUACGGAUGGGCUAGAGUUCGGGAGAGGAGAGUGGAAUUCCCAGUGUAGAGGUGAAAUUCGUAGAUAUUGGGAAGAACACCGGUGGCGAAGGCGGUCUGCUGGGCAGUUCUGACACUGAUGCGCGACAGCGUGGGGAGCAAACAGG
rnacentral:rRNA from 1 species